CCCUUGGGACGGGGAAAACCGUUGGAAACGACGGCUAAUACCGGAUGCGGCGCCCGGCGGCAUCGCCGGAGCGUCAAAGGGGGCCGCAAGGCUCCCGCCCGAGGAGGGGCUCGCGCACCAUCAGCUUGUUGGCGGGUAACGGCCCACCAAGGCUCACGGUUAGCUGGUCUGAGAGGAUGGCCAGCCCCACUGGGACUGAGAUACUGCCCAGACUCCUACGGGAGGCUGCAGUCGAGGAUCAUUCGCAAUGGGCGGAAGCCUGACGAUGCGACGCUGCGUGGAGGGAAUGAAGGCCUUCGGGUCGUAAACUCCUGUCAUGGGGGAAAAGGCGAGGGGAGCGAACACCUCCCUUAGUUGAUGGUACUCCAAGAGGAAGGGACGGCUAACUCUGUGCCAGCAGCUGC
rnacentral:rRNA from 1 species